AUCAAGGGCCCUGGCGAGGGCCUUCGGAUCGCAGCUCUAACCUAUCCCCUGAGCCGAUUCGGUCUGUACCGCCCAUCAGGCGCGUUUGACGAGGUUGCGACUGCAACGAAGUUGUCCCGAGGGACGGAAGCGUAAUAGAUACAACGGCAAGACCGGUGAAGCCCGCAUGAAGGCCCACAACGCCCCACUGCGCCCGCUGCAUCGCCUGCGCCUCGCUC
rnacentral:ncRNA from 1 species